UUCUUUAUUAUGAUAAAUUGAUCCUGAAAGACCCCUGGAGUGGGGAGACCCUCACUCAAGUCUCAGGAUGAUGCAACUCCCCAAGAACUCACGAGAGACC
rnacentral:pre_miRNA from 14 species